rnacentral:rRNA from 1 species
CGUGCAGGCGGUGGUGCGCGUUUUGUGUGACAGCGCGAGGCUUCACUUCGUGAGGAUACGAAAGACGGCAGCACUUGAGAGCGCGAGAGGGACACGGAAUUCCGGGUGGAGUGGUGAAAUGCGUAAAGAUCCGGAGGAACACCGAAGGCGAAGGCAGUGUCCUGGCGCGCAUCUGACGCUGAGGCGCGAAAGCCAGGGGAGCGAACG